rnacentral:rRNA from 1 species
CAGGCCUAACACAUGCAAGUCGAACGAUGCUUUCGGGCAUAGUGGCGCACGGGUGCGUAACGCGUGGGAAUCUGCCCUUUGGUUCGGAAUAACAGUUGGAAACGACUGCUAAUACCGGAUGAUGACGUAAGUCCAAAGAUUUAUCGCCAGAGGAUGAGCCCGCGUGAGAUUAGGUAGUUGGUGGGGUAAAGGCCUACCAAGCCGACGAUCUCUAGCUGGUCUGAGAGGAUGAUCAGCCACACUGGGACUGAGACACGGCCCAGACUCCUACGGGAGGCAGCAGUGGGGAAUAUUGGACAAUGGGCGCAAGCCUGAUCCAGCCAUGCCGCGUGAGUGAUGAAGGCCUUAGGGUUGUAAAGCUCUUUUGUCCGGGACGAUAAUGACGGUACCGGAAGAAUAAGCCCCGGCUAACUUCGUGCCAGCAGCCGCGGUAA